rnacentral:piRNA from 1 species
UAAGAUCUGAUGCUGCUCGGCUGGAUA